rnacentral:rRNA from 1 species
UGGGGAAUAUUGCACAAUGGGCGGAAGCCUGAUGCAGCGACGCCGCGUGGGGGAUGAAGGCCUUCGGGUUGUAAACUCCUUUCGACAGGGACGAAGCUUUUGUGACGGUACCUGUAUAAGAAGCACCGGCUAACUACGUGCCAGCAGCCGCGGUAAUACGUAGGGUGCGAGCGUUGUCCGGAAUUACUGGGCGUAAAGAGCUCGUAGGUGGUUUGUCGCGUCGUCUGUGAAAUUCCGGGGCUUAACUCCGGGCGUGCAGGCGAUACGGGCUGACUUGAGUGCUGUUGGGGAGACUGGAAUUCCUGGUGUAGCGGUGAAAUGCGCAGAUAUCAGGAGGAACACCGAUGGCGAAGGCAGGUCUCUGGGCAGUAACUGACGCUGAGGAGCGAAAGCAUGGGUAGCGAACAGG